rnacentral:rRNA from 1 species
GCUCAAAUUUGAAAUCUGGUACCUUUGGUGCCCGAGUUGUAAUUUGGAGAGUACCACUUUGGGACUGUACUUUGCCUAUGUUCCUUGGAACAGGACGUCAUGGAGGGUGAGAAUCCCGUGUGGCGAGGGUGUCAGUUCUUUGUAAAGGGUGCUCGAAGAGUCGAGUUGUUUGGGAAUGCAGCUCUAAGUGGGUGGUAAAUUCCAUCUAAAGCUAAAUACAGGCGAGAGACCGAUAGCGAACAAGUACAGUGAUGGAAAGAUGAAAAGAACUUUGAAAAGAGAGUGAAAAAGUACGUGAAAUUGUUGAAAGGGAAGGGCAUUUGAUCAGACAUGGUGUUUUGCGCCCCUUGCCUCUCGUGGGCUUGGGACUCUCGCAGCUCACUGGGCCAGCAUCGGUUUUGGCGGCCGGAAAAAACCUAGGGAAUGUGGCUCUGCGCCUCGGUGUAGAGUGUUAUAGCCCUGGGGAAUACGGCCAGCCGGGACCGAGGACUGCGAUACUUGUUAUCUAGGAUGCUGGCAUAAUGGUUAUAUGCCGCCCGUCUUG